AACGUAGGAGGCGAGCGUUAUCCGGAUUUACUGGGUGUAAAGCGCGUGCAGGCGGUUGGUGAAGUUGGAUGUGAAAGCUCCCGGCUCAACUGGGAGAGGUCGUUCAAAACUGACCAACUGGAGAGCAGUAGGGGAAGGUGGAAUUCCGGGUGUAGUGGUGAAAUGCGUAGAUAUCCGGAGGAACACCAGUGGCGAAAGCGGCCUUCUGGACUGCAUCUGACGCUCAGACGCGAAAGCUAGGGUAGCAAAC
rnacentral:rRNA from 1 species